UGGUUCUGACCGUCAUUAUGUCUCUUAGGAAUUGUUACGUGGACAACCUCGGAUAAGGUCGAAAAGAUGGACGAGUCCCCUUUUUUUUGCUUUAUUGCAGGAACCAUAAAUUAUACACAUCUAUAUAACCAACCUCUUGAGCGUUUUUGCUCAACCCUAAAAAUGGAACUGAAGAUAUAUUUCUAGUUCGUUCGAGAAUUCGUACACCUGAUGACAGGGUGGGGCCCAAAAAACUCGAGACCUUUAGGAAGGGACAGAAGAACAACCUCAAACGAGCACGCCAACAAAUAUCUCAAGAGAUGUAAUCGUGACAGGUUUUGUUCCGCUACAUAAAUCGAAUGUUCAAAAUGGAACAAGAACAAGUCACUCGGGGAGAGAUUUCUCUGACAUUCAAAGGCUCGAGAAGCAGACAUAUUCCUUCAAUGUUUCUCCACUUUGCCAAGUGAAAACAUCUUCACAAUUUCAAACGCUUUGAUCAGAUUGACAUUUUCAAUUAAAAAUGAGGCCAAGUGUGAGCUCGAAAAAAGGGGAAGAGGAGAUCCCUCGCCUAUUCAUGGCACAGAUUGAACCAAAAACGGGAGAAAUUUGUCGAACAAAAGGGAGCACAACGAACGAAGCCCAAGCAAGGAAGAAAGAAAUGAAGGAUGGGACAACGAGGUCCUCGCCAAUCGACAAUUCUUCGUUCAUAACGAGGAGUCUCUCUCUCUCUCUCUCUUUCUUACUCUGACCGGCAUUAGCCCUCUUGCCAAGCUAAAUAAAAGCGAGGCCAGACACCUCAUUGAAAAGGAAUGGUGUCCUUUUCCAUCCAGUAAGGGGUGUGCCUCUUUCCAUCUUUGCCUCUGAGUUCAUCUUGCAAUGGGGCGGACGCCGGCAAUUUGCUCUAAACGACCCUCAUUUCACGUUUCAGCCCCAUAAUUGUUUCGUUCUUGCCCCAAAAUCAGAGUCAGAUGAGUUUGUCUGUAAAUCAAACCCAAUGAUCCAUGAAGCGUUUCGAAAUUGCUCCCUGUCCCAGGCUCGUGUCAAGUUCCAUCAAUUAUCCCAUUCUAUUCCUGACAUCUCGCCUCAAGGCGAAAGUCGGACUCGAGACAUUGGAUUUUUCCCUUCCUCGAUCGAGCUUUGGCCGGACCGUUCCAUAUGAUUCGUCUCAUUUAUUUCAUUGCACCCUUUGCUCUUUGACAAACACAAAGCGGAAAUCCAAGAGACAACGGCGACAAAGACAUAGAGGUUUCUCGCCAUGCGUUUCACAAGACUUUCCACACUCGACGGCCGAACUUGAACCUUGCCCUUCUUCACACCUCAUGGAAUCCAAUUUGAGAAAAAGGUAUUCAAGCCAAUGCAGAGUAUUGGCAAUCUUAACGAGAUCGCCAGAGACAAGUGUGAUGCAGGACACAACUGGAAGAUUGGACCCUCAUUACUCGUGGAGCAAAAAUGGAAAUGACUUUAUCCGAGCAAUGUGUUAAAAGAGCAAGACGGAUCACCUUCCACCCUAGGGAGAACUUGGCCUUUUUGUAAUGAUGACUUGAAAAGCAUUCGGCCAGUCCGUCAGUCCGCCAGUCAGGCACUGCCUCAAAGACGACAAAGACGAGCGAACGGAGAAAAGAUAUUGUUGAGCCAACAAAAGCACGCCAGAAUUAUCAAGGAAUGCUCGCAAGUCAAUCUCCCAGAUUGAAAAGAGCAACUACUCGGCAUGAGGAGAAGACAUUUUAUGGCACAUUUACAACUCUCCGCUCUCCCCAUAGGAUCACGCUUCAAGACCACACUCACUCCCCCUGACUGGAAUUAGGAAUUGGGAGCUGCAAAAAGCGUGGAACACACUUCGGGGGCUCCCAUCAGAGCAUGUACGUGAACAUGUGUGUCUCUGCAAAAAUGCAUCUUCGCUAUUUUCAAUUUGGAAAGGCAAAAUAAACAAUAGCGCCUUG